rnacentral:misc_RNA from 1 species
GAUGAAAGAACGUAGCGAAAUGCGAUACUUGGUGUGAAUUGCAGAAUCCCGUGAACCAUCGAGUCUUUGAACGCAAGUUGCGCCCGAAGCCAUUAGGCCGAGGGCACGCCUGCCUGGGCGUCACACGUCGUUGCCCCCCCAUCUACUCCUUCGGGAUUGCGGGGGGCGGAUGAUGGCCUCCCGUGCGCCUUGUCGCGCGGUUGGCAUAAAUGCCAAGUCCUCGGCGACGCACGCCACGACAAUCGGUGGUUGCGAAACCUCGGUUGCCCGUCGUGUGCGGUCGUCGCGCAUCGAGGGCUCGAAAAAAUUGUCGGGCUCCGGCUCGGCUUUCAACGCGACCCCAGGUCAGGCGGGGUUACCCGCUGAAUUUAAGCAUAUCAAUAAGCGGAGGA